rnacentral:rRNA from 1 species
GAUGAACGCUGGCGGCGUGCUUAACACAUGCAAGUCGAACGGAAAGGCUCCUGCUUGCAGGGGUACUCGAGUGGCGAACGGGUGAGUAACACGUGGGUGAUCUGCCCUGCACUUCGGGAUAAGCCUGGGAAACUGGGUCUAAUACCGGAUAGGACGAUGGUUUGGAUGCCAUUGUGGAAAGUUUUUUCGGUGUGGGAUGAGCUCGCGGCCUAUCAGCUUGUUGGUGGGGUAACGGCCUACCAAGGCGUCGACGGGUAGCCGGCCUGAGAGGGUGUACGGCCACAUUGGGACUGAGAUACGGCCCAGACUCCUACGGGAGGCAGCAGUGGGGAAUAUUGCACAAUGGGCGCAAGCCUGAUGCAGCGACGCCGCGUGGGGGAUGACGGCCUUCGGGUUGUAAACUCCUUUCGCUAGGGACGAAGCGCAAGUGACGGUACCUGGAGAAGAAGCACCGGCUAACUACGUG